GCCAACCUGCACUUUCCUUCCCCUGGAAGAGCUGGGGCGAGAGAAGAAAACUAAGAUGAAUUGGCCAAACCACUUUAGAGGUCAGCUAAAGUCAGAGACUCAGAAAGGUGCUCUACAAGGGUGAGCUACACAGAAACCACAAGAUGUAGACAGAGCAAAAGGGAGGAAGAAGAAAGACCUGAUUCCAGAGGAUGAGGCUGACGAUGCAGAGGAGGAUGCUUAGAUGUGAGCUGUGAAGGGAGACAGAGGAAGGAGUCCACAGAGGCAUCACCAAGUUUCCUGGGAAACAGUAGGUCACACAUCUCCUGGAGCUGCUUCUAGAAGACCUGACCCAGAUGGCAGGAAUCUCACCCACGUGUGUGGAGGCACCACCCCAAUUUGCACACAAGAGUCAUCUGCUUACUUAGCAUCUGGAGCAGGUUGGUCGGGACCAACCUCAUCUGAAGAGCUUCUGGUCAUCUUGAACUUAACUCGUCCCUCAACUGCCUGAAGGAAGGCAGAGACCU
rnacentral:lncRNA from 1 species